CAUGGCAUAAAAUAAUACCAAUCAGUGUUCCCCAUUUUUGGAAAGGCAUGGAGUAGGGUGGCAGUAGAAAAGUGAAGUUUAGAGUUUGUGAUUCCAUCUGAUGUUGCAGGAGGGAUUAUCCAAGAGGAAGUAAAUCUAUGACCAAUUUAGAGAUCUGGCCACAGCGACCUUGAACUUUUCUUCCACUUUGUAUCUGAAAAUCUAUAAGCUGAGACCAGAAAGAUGCAGGCGGCAUCUCCCACCCCUUUAGCUGAUCUUUAUCCACUCUAUUCCUUCUCUAUAGUUACAACUCCACAGGGAUCCCAGUCUUUUACUUUUCCCUUAGCACCAUUCACUAAGGAGAGAUUUGGAGUCUUUCAAGGUAGAAUUCUGAGGGGAACAAUAAUGGCACUGCAUAUUUUCAUUAAGAGGACUCCUCGCCUCAGAAUACCAGAAGUUAUGCUAUAACCAGGACAUAAUCUGAGAGUAAUGCCAUUGUGAAGUCCAUAAAUAUGACAUCUAGGGUAAUGAGGACCUUCUAUGAAGUCACGUAAAAUCAAGGUUGGGCCAGGGCUUAAGCUUCCUGAAAGCCUGGGAGUCCUAGAUUACCGUGACUCAUUCAAAGGUCUUGGGGAAGUGUCAGUGAUGACUGCUGCCAAAAACUGGGUUGGAUUUGUAUGAAGCUUCGGGACAGGGUAAUCCAGCUGAUCCAGUGCGAUGACUUUGACAUGUAAUAGACCAAGGAAUUCAUUUGUGUCAGGGUAUGGAGCCUUCAGCUUGGACUGCCAGAUGUAGAAGAUCCAAUGGAGAAUUCUGAGGCCCAAGGUGAUUUUAGAACUACUACACGGAAGGAGCCUGCCCAGACAUCUGCACUGUACUGUGAUGUAAGGAGAAAUAAAUCUUUGUUAAGUCAUUGAGAUUUUGCAGCUGGUGCAGAUUGAGAAUUCUAGCAGUUUGGGAGAAGUUAAAGCCUCUCAACAGGGAACACUGCAUUUAAAGGAUCCUGUAAACUGCAGCACCAGGAAAACCAUAGUCCAAGUCUUCAUUCUUCAGCUUGCAGUCACGUCACCACCAUAUGCUGUACACUAGAGUAUUUAUGGCUUGAAUCACACAUGGAGCCAGUCUUAUCUCAGGCAACCAUGCUGUCUGCAUCAGUAUAAGAUAAAACUGUGCUAAUGACAGGAGGGCAUGUUUAAAUGUACGUUUCCAUGUAUGGGAUAAAAUACUUCGUCAAAUGAAGCUUGGUCAAAUGAAGCUUCAUGCUACUUCUCUGUGAAUGUGGUAUUUAUUUUAUGGGGCAGCAAAGGCAGGGAUUAGCUUCAUUUUUGCAUCUGAUUCUAGGCAGAUAGUGAUGCUAAAAGGUUAAUGCUUAAGUUACUGUCUUUCAGUUACUAUCUAACAGCAGGACAAUGCUCUUAGAGUUUAUGGAAUUAUUAGCUACUUUUUAGUCUGCUUGAAACUGGAAUGCCAUACCUUGCCAGUUAUUUUAGCUCCACUCUGCUCCUACUAAGUAAGGUCAUUUUUGGUACAGUGAUUUGUUAGACAAGACAAGUAAGAUUCAAAUACAAGAUUUGUCACUGUGGGUUUCACUUCUGUCCAUCUGAUGACCAGGCUGCUCUGGCUCUGUGCUUAUAUAUUGGGAAGAAUUUGCUAGGCUCUUGAAGUUAUCCUUAAUGCCAUCUUUCUCUCUGAAGACAAUGGUUUCAUUUUUUAACAAUAUCCUGUGGGGGAAGCCUGACCCAGAGAACUGUUUAAGAUACCCAUAUUCUCCAUCCUGAGGCAGGAAAAGAAUUCUGAAAAGGCUGUAGGGAUUGGAACUCUCAGACUGUGGGACAGAAAAAUUAGCACAGUAACUUCCUUCUCCACUUUUGUGGGUUAACCCAAAACUGUUAUCUGAACUACAAAUUCCUUAAGAUUAGGGAUUGUAUCUUUUUUGUUUUUGUAUCUCUAGUACCCAGUUUAAUGCCUCAGUAAGUGAUGAAUAAACAAAUGAAUGCAUACAUGCACAAACAAAUUAUGUGUCCUCUUUUUGGUCCUCCAUUUCAGCCUUCUGAAGGCUGAGAGAGAAGCUGAUGUUAUAGAGUUCUUAAAGGUUUUCAAACUAAUGGGAGAAAAACUGGGAUAUAAUUUGAAGAGAGAUUUGGGGGAAGUAGCUCCAAGGAAGGUUAGUGUUGGUUUGAAAGUCAUAGCACCAGGAAUGUUAUUAUUGUCACUAAAACAAUUUUAAAAAAUGGAAAGAGUAAUUGCCCUCAGUGAUUUUUUAGA
rnacentral:lncRNA from 1 species